rnacentral:rRNA from 1 species
GGGUUGUGAGGUUAAGCGACUAAGCGUACACGGUGGAUGCCCUGGCAGUCAGAGGCGAUGAAGGGCGUGCUAAUCUGCGAUAAGCGCCGGUAAGGUGAUAUGAACCGUUAUAACCGGCGAUACCCGAAUGGGGAAACCCAGUGUGAUUCGUCACACUAUCAUUAACUGAAUCCAUAGGUUAAUGAGGCGAACCGGGGGAACUGAAACAUCUAAGUACCCCGAGGAAAAGAAAUCAACCGAGAUUCCCCCAGUAGCGGCGAGCGAACGGGGAGGAGCCCAGAGCCUGAAUCAGCAUGUGUGUUAGUGGAAGCGUCUGGAAAGGCGCGCGAUACAGGGUGACAGCCCCGUACACAAAAGCGCAUGUGCUGUGAGCUCGAUGAGUAGGGCGGGACACGUGGUAUCCUGUCUGAAUAUGGGGGGACCAUCCUCCAAGGCUAAAUACUCCUGACUGACCGAUAGUGAACCAGUACCGUGAGGGAAAGGCGAAAAGAACCCCGGCGAGGGGAGUGAAAAAGAACCUGAAACCGUGUACGUACAAGCAGUGGGAGCACAGGUUUACCUGUGUGACUGCGUACCUUUUGUAUAAUGGGUCAGCGACUUAUAUUCUGUAGCAAGGUUAACCGAAUAGGGGAGCCGGAGGGAAACCGAGUCUUAAUUGGGCGUUAAGUUGCAGGGUAUAGACCCGAAACCCGGUGAUCUAGCCAUGGGCAGGUUGAAGGUUGGGUAACACUAACUGGAGGACCGAACCGACUAAUGUUGAAAAAUUAGCGGAUGACCUGUGGCUGGGGGUGAAAGGCCAAUCAAACCGGGAGAUAGCUGGUUCUCCCCGAAAGCUAUUUAGGUAGCGCCUCGUGAAUUCAUCUCCGGGGGUAGAGCACUGUUUCGGCUAGGGGGCCAUCCCGGCUUACCAACCCGAUGCAAACUGCGAAUACCGGAGAAUGUUAUCACGGGAGACACACGGCGGGUGCUAACGUCCGUCGUGAAGAGGGAAACAACCCAGACCGCCAGCUAAGGUCCCAAAGUCAUGGUUAAGUGGGAAACGAUGUGGGAAGGCCCAGACAGCCAGGAUGUUGGCUUAGAAGCAGCCAUCAUUUAAAGAAAGCGUAAUAGCUCACUGGUCGAGUCGGCCUGCGCGGAAGAUGUAACGGGGCUAAACCAUGCACCGAAGCUGCGGCAGCGACGCUUAUGCGUUGUUGGGUAGGGGAGCGUUCUGUAAGCCUGCGAAGGUGGCCUGUGAGGGUUGCUGGAGGUAUCAGAAGUGCGAAUGCUGACAUAAGUAACGAUAAAGCGGGUGAAAAGCCCGCUCGCCGGAAGACCAAGGGUUCCUGUCCAACGUUAAUCGGGGCAGGGUGAGUCGACCCCUAAGGCGAGGCCGAAAGGCGUAGUCGAUGGGAAACGGGUUAAUAUUCCCGUACUUGGUGUUACUGCGAAGGGGGGACGGAGAAGGCUAUGUUGGCCGGGCGACGGUUGUCCCGGUUUAAGCGUGUAGGUGUGUGUUCCAGGUAAAUCCGGUUCACUUUAACACUGAGGCGUGACGACGAGGCACUACGGUGCUGAAGCAACAAAUGCCCUGCUUCCAGGAAAAGCCUCUAAGCAUCAGGUAACAUCAAAUCGUACCCCAAACCGACACAGGUGGUCAGGUAGAGAAUACCAAGGCGCUUGAGAGAACUCGGGUGAAGGAACUAGGCAAAAUGGUGCCGUAACUUCGGGAGAAGGCACGCUGACACGUAGGUGAAGUGAUUUACUCAUGGAGCUGAAGUCAGUCGAAGAUACCAGCUGGCUGCAACUGUUUAUUAAAAACACAGCACUGUGCAAACACGAAAGUGGACGUAUACGGUGUGACGCCUGCCCGGUGCCGGAAGGUUAAUUGAUGGGGUCAGCGCAAGCGAAGCUCCUGAUCGAAGCCCCGGUAAACGGCGGCCGUAACUAUAACGGUCCUAAGGUAGCGAAAUUCCUUGUCGGGUAAGUUCCGACCUGCACGAAUGGCGUAAUGAUGGCCAGGCUGUCUCCACCCGAGACUCAGUGAAAUUGAACUCGCUGUGAAGAUGCAGUGUACCCGCGGCAAGACGGAAAGACCCCGUGAACCUUUACUAUAGCUUGACACUGAACAUUGAGCCUUGAUGUGUAGGAUAGGUGGGAGGCUUUGAAGUGUGGACGCCAGUCUGCAUGGAGCCGACCUUGAAAUACCACCCUUUAAUGUUUGAUGUUCUAACGUGGACCCGUUACCCGGGUUGCGGACAGUGUCUGGUGGGUAGUUUGACUGGGGCGGUCUCCUCCUAAAGAGUAACGGAGGAGCACGAAGGUUGGCUAAUCCUGGUCGGACAUCAGGAGGUUAGUGCAAUGGCAUAAGCCAGCUUGACUGCGAGCGUGACGGCGCGAGCAGGUGCGAAAGCAGGUCAUAGUGAUCCGGUGGUUCUGAAUGGAAGGGCCAUCGCUCAACGGAUAAAAGGUACUCCGGGGAUAACAGGCUGAUACCGCCCAAGAGUUCAUAUCGACGGCGGUGUUUGGCACCUCGAUGUCGGCUCAUCACAUCUGGGGCUGAAGUAGGUCCCAAGGGUAUGGCUGUUCGCCAUUUAAAGUGGUACGCGAGCUGGGUUUAGAACGUCGUGAGACAGUUCGGUCCCUAUCUGCCGUGGGCGCUGGAGAACUGAGGGGGGCUGCUCCUAGUACGAGAGGACCGGAGUGGACGCAUCACUGGUGUUCGGGUUGUCAUGCCAAUGGCACUGCCCGGUAGCUAAAUGCGGAAGAGAUAAGUGCUGAAAGCAUCUAAGCACGAAACUUGCCCCGAGAUGAGUUCUCCCUGAGACUUAGAGUCUCCUGAAGGAACGUUGAAGACGACGACGUUGAUAGGCCGGGUGUGUAAGCGCAGCGAUGCGUUGAGCUAACCGGUACUAAUGAACCGUGAGGCUUAACCUUACAACGCCGAAG